rnacentral:rRNA from 1 species
UACGGAGGGUGCAAGCGUUAUCCGGAUUCACUGGGUUUAAAGGGUGCGUAGGCGGCACGGUAAGUCAGAGGUGAAAUCCCGGAGCUCAACUUCGGAAUUGCCUCCGAUACUGCCAUGCUUGAGGACUGGAGAGGAGAUUGGAAUUCACAGUGGAGCAGUGAAAUGCGUAGAUAUUGUGAGGAACACUAGUGGCGAAGGCGAAUCUCUGGACAGUUCCUGACGCUGAGGCACGAAGGCCAGGGGAGCAAACGGG